AUACGUAGGUGGCAAGCGUUGUCCGGAAUUACUGGGCGUAAAGGAUGCGUAGGCGGCCUCUUAAGUGGGAUGUGAAAUGCCGGGGCUUAACCCCGGAGGUGCAUUCCAUACUGGGAGGCUAGAGUGCAGGAGAGGAAAGCGGAAUUCCCAGUGUAGCGGUGAAAUGCGUAGAGAUUGGGAGGAACACCAGUGGCGAAGGCGGCUUUCUGGACUGUAACUGACGCUGAGUCACGAAAGCGUGGGUAGCAACCAGGAUUAGAUACCCUGGUAGUCCACGCCGUAAACGAUGAGUGCUAGGUGUUGGGCAGCAAUGCUCAGUGCCGAAGUAAACACAAUAAGCACUCCGCCUGGGGAGUACGUACGCAAGUAUGAA
rnacentral:rRNA from 1 species